AUUGAACGCUGGCGGCAUGCCUUACACAUGCAAGUCGAACGGCAGCAUGGAAGAGCUUGCUCUUCUGAUGGCGAGUGGCGAACGGGUGAGUAAAGCAUCGGAACGUACCGUGUAGUGGGGGAUAACGUAGCGAAAGUUACGCUAAUACCGCAUACGCACUGAGGUGGAAAGCAGGGGAUCGCAAGACCUUGCGCUAUACGAGCGGCCGAUGUCAGAUUAGCUAGUUGGUAGGGUAAAGGCCUACCAAGGCGACGAUCUGUAGCGGGUCUGAGAGGAUGAUCCGCCACACUGGGACUGAGACACGGCCCCAGACUCCUACGGGAGGCAGCA
rnacentral:rRNA from 1 species